UACAGAGGGGGCAAGCGUUGUUCGGAAUUACUGGGCGUAAAGGGCGCGUAGGCGGCCUUCUAAGUCGAACGUGAAAUCCCCGGGCUCAACCCGGGAACUGCGUCCGAUACUGGAAGGCUUGAAUCCGGGAGAGGGAUGUGGAAUUCCAGGUGUAGCGGUGAAAUGCGUAGAUAUCUGGAGGAACACCGGUGGUGUAGACGGCUCACUGGACCAUAACUGACGCUGAGACACGAAAGCGUGGGUAGCAAACAGG
rnacentral:rRNA from 1 species